rnacentral:rRNA from 1 species
GUGACAGCAGCCGCGGUAAAACGUAGGAGGCAAGCGUUAUCCGGAUUUACUGGGCGUAAAGCGCGUGCAGGCGGUUCGGUAAGUCGGACGUGAAAGCUCCUGGCUCAACUGGGAGAGGCCGUUCGAAACUACCGGACUAGAGGGCAGGAGAGGGAGGUGGAAUUCCGGGUGUAGCGGUGAAAUGCGUAGAUAUCCGGAGGAACACCAGUGGCGAAGGCGGCCUCCUGGUCUGCCCCUGACGCUCAGACGCGAAAGCUAGGGGAGCGAACGGGAUUAGAAACCCGGGUAGUCC